rnacentral:rRNA from 1 species
AUUGAACGCUGGCGGCAUGCUUUACACAUGCAAGUCGAACGGCAGCGCGGGCUUCGGCCUGGCGGCGAGUGGCGAACGGGUGAGUAAUGCAUCGGAACGUGCCCAGUAGUGGGGGAUAGCCCGGCGAAAGCCGGAUUAAUACCGCAUACGACCUGAGGGUGAAAGCGGGGGACCGAAAGGCCUCGCGCUAUUGGAGCGGCCGAUGUCGGAUUAGCUAGUUGGUGGGGUAAGGCUUACCAAGGCGGCGAUCCGUAGCUGGUCUGAGAGGACGACCAGCCACACUGGGACUGAGACACGGCCCAGACUCCUACGGGAGGCAGCAGUGGGGAAUUUUGGACAAUGGGGGCAACCCUGAUCCAGCCAUGCCGCGUGCGGGAAGAAGGCCUUCGGGUUGUAAACCGCUUUUGUACGGGAAGAAAUCCUCUGGGCUAAUACCCCGGGGGGAUGACGGUACCGGAAGAAUAAGCACCGGCUAACUACGU